rnacentral:lncRNA from 1 species
UAUUAUACAGGUUACUUGAAAAAAAUUAUAAAGAAAAGAAAAUUUAAAUGAAAAAUGGAAAAGAAAAAUAGAAAUAAAAAUAAAAUUUUCAAUAACAGUAGUUAGAUAUUUUAAAUUAUUAAAAAUAAUGUUGUAAUUAAGCAUUAUAAAACUUAACGUCAGCACGACACGUAAAAAAAACUGAUUUUUCAAAUAAUAAUAUAGAGAACGAUGUAGUUGGACUAUAACUUUUUGAAUUUAAAUCAUUUUAUGUAACAAUGUUAAUUUUUUUUUUGUCAACUUACAAUGUUAAAUAGAAACAUAUUUCACUAUGAAACAUAUUUGAAAUUUUAUAAUUGCUUAAAUAUUUAUGGCAUGGUAGAAACUAAUCACCGAAAAUCCUUUUAUCAUUCAUUUUUGUACUCAUUCAUUUUUGUUAUAACUAGGAGUA